rnacentral:rRNA from 1 species
UACGGGGGGGGCGAGCGUUGUUCGGAAUUAUUGGGCGUAAAGGGCGCGUAGGCGGUGCGGUAAGUCUGAUGUGAAACCUCCAGGCUCAACUUGGAGCUUGCAUCAGAAACUGCCGUGCUAGAGUGUGGGAGAGGAAAGUGGAAUUCCCGGUGUAGCGGUGAAAUGCGUAGAUAGCGGGAGGAACAUCGGUGGCGAAAGCGGCGAGCUGGAUCACUACUGACGCUGAGGAACGAAAGCUAGGGGAGCAAACAGG